UUUAGAUGGCGACCGGCGCACGGGUGAGUAACACGUAUCCAACCUGCGAUGACUCGGGAUAGCCUUUCGAAAGAAAGAUUAAUACCCGAUGGCAUAGUUCUUCCGCAUGGUAGAACUAUUAAAGAAUUUCGGUCAUCGAUGGGGAUGCGUUCCAUUAGGUUGUUGGCGGGGUAACGGCCCACCAAGCCUUCGAUGGAUAGGGGUUCUGAGAGGAAGGUCCCCCACAUUGGAACUGAGACACGGUCCAA
rnacentral:rRNA from 1 species